rnacentral:ribozyme from 1 species
AGAAGACAAAUAAAAAGAGCACACAAUGAAGAGAGCACGCAUUCGGCCCUUUCCAUUUGUCUCUCUUCAUUUAGCUCUUUUCCUUUGUGUUCUUUCUGUUCAUUUCAUUCGUGUGUUCUUUCUUUCUCUUUCAAUUAAAACAAAAUGGUAAUGAAUGAAAUGGAAGCACGCAUUUUGUUUUAUUGAAAGAAGAAAGAACAACACACACACUACUCUCACGUUCUUUU